GGUGUGGACGACGUCAAGUCAUCAUGGCCCUUAUGCCCAGGGCGACACACGUGCUACAAUGGCAUAUACAAUGAGACGCAAUACCGCGAGGUGGAGCAAAUCUAUAAAAUAUGUCCCAGUUCGGAUUGUUCUCUGCAACUCGAGAGCAUGAAGCCGGAAUCGCUAGUAAUCGUAGAUCAGCCAUGCUACGGUGAAUACGUUCCCGGGUCUUGUACUCACCGCCCGUCACACCAUGGGAGUUGAUUUCACUCGAAGCCGGAAUACUAAACUAGUUACCGUCCACAGUGGAAUCAGCGACUGGGGUGAAGUCGUAACAAGGUAACCGUAGGAGAA
rnacentral:rRNA from 1 species